rnacentral:rRNA from 1 species
UGGGGAAUCUUGCACAAUGGGCGAAAGCCUGAUGCAGCAACGCCGCGUGAGGGAUGAAGGCCUUCGGGUUGUAAACCUCUUUCAGCAGGGACGAAGCGCAAGUGACGGUACCUGCAGAAGAAGCACCGGCUAACUACGUGCCAGCAGCCGCGGUAAUACGUAGGGUGCACGCGUUGUCCGGAAUUACUGGGCGUAAAGAGUUCGUAGGCGGUUUGUCGAGUCGUUUGUGAAAACCAGCAGCUCAAACGCUGGCUUGCAGGCGAUACGGGCAGACUUGAGUGCUGAAGGGGAGACUGGAAUUCCUGGUGUAGCGGUGAAAUGCGCAGAUAUCAGGAGGAACACCGGUGGAGAAGGCGGGUCUCUGGGCAGUAACUGACGCUGAGGAACGAAAGCGUGGGUAGCGAACAGG